CAAGGUCUGUGCAGAGCAGGCAGGACAUAUGCACCUCCUAGAAUCUACGGUGGUAUACUGAUGCUCUGUUUAUUGCCUGUUCAGCACACACCAGACUCCCCAAAGACAGAUGGCUCUUGCUGUCUCAUUUUACACCUCUAUAGCUUGGAAACAGACCAUUUCACAGAAGCAGACAGAAAGGGAUUCAGUGCAGAAUCAUAAAGAAACAUUCCUCUGGACGCCUGCAGAUUCCUCUUUUCAGAAGUGGGCAGAGGAGAAGAUAGAAAGGGAUCAGGAUGGGAUCAGGAGGGAUUGUCUUCUGUUUGUUUAGAGGCAUGAAGCUCCUUUCUGAAGAAGGAAAGUCUUCUUAACCAUACUUUGAAAACAAUGCUGCAAACACCAAAAACAUAUUUAAUGGUCUGUGUUAACAACUAAAACUGUGGCCUAAGAAGAAUGAACUUUUCCUGGCUGGGUCCUCUCAGGAGUUGUGUUUACUCUUUCCAUACUUCGAAUAAAAGGAAGCAUGCAACCAAACAAGAAAAAAACCCUGGAAAAACUUCAGUCCAGGCUGGCUUCACUUAUGCCUCCACUUGCUCCCAGUCUUCACCAUUAUUAAAUGCAAUGGAAGUCAAUGUCUGAAAAUGAAGUUCUAUUAAGGAGCUGUGUGUGGCCGCAUCAGUUGUAAAAAUGGGAAAAUACAUAAAGAGUUGGAGAAAAGAAGCACUUCCUCUUAUGGACAGAGAUCUGAAGCACAAAGAAAGAGUUCAAAGGCCAUCAAAGUUGGAUUUCUGCAGUAUAUAGAUGGAUAGAUGGAGACAUACUUCCACAGGCUGAUUCACCUCUUCCAGCUUAAACAUGAAACAUAAGGUGAAUUGUUUUGUGGAUGUGUUUGUGCCUUAGUAUUGACUACAGAAGAAACCUAGAGGACUAGGUUUUGAUUAGACACCUAAAUCUGAGGUGGCACAAUUUGUUUAAGUUAAACCUUAUCCUAAAUGGCAAAGUGACCUUAGAUAGUAGUAGAAUGUGAACAUUCAUUUUACAGAAACUACUUUAUAGAGAAGAUCAUUCUUCAAAUCCUAUGCUCCCUAUACCAGGAAUUCUCUUUAAUUCAAUCUGUGGAGCUCUCAGCACCUUGUAGGCAUUCUAUUGAUGAAUGAAUAAUAACAAAAAAAUGUUUCUUUUUCUGUGAGUUAUUAUUAGCAUGAAGUAGUGAUAUUUCAUGAUAAAUAAAUUAUUCUUUCUGCUGUACAAUCAACCAGUGCAGAAACUUGACAACAAGAAACACUGAGAGAUGCAUGUUUCAGAACUUCAUUCAAAAACAAGCUAUAACUAAGAUGGGCUUUGUUUUUUUUAAAUAUUAUUUUUUCUCUUAUUGUUCUGCAGAAUGAAUAAAAUUACUCAGUGGAGGAAUUCUUAACAGAUGGUUACCAUUUCAGCCUCAGAUGGCAGAAAGCCCUAGAACCAAGCAAUUACAGAGUUCUUUGAUGCAGAACCAGCUGAACAGAUUUUAAUAAUUUCUUCCAGACUGGAGACACCUGGCCCCCCAGAAAGUGCUGUAAGCUUGGUGAUAGACGUGUGCAAUAGAAAUAUAUUCCUGAUGUCACCAGCAAGUUUUUGGUGGCAAAAUCAUGAAGACCAAUAGGAAAUAAUUUUAAAAUUACCUUUUUUGUUUUCUACUAUUAAUGCAAUGAAACAUUGCAAGUGGCCCAGUAAAAUAAUUUUUAAAAUACU